GACGAACGCUGGCGGCGUGCUUAACACAUGCAAGUGGAGCGACGAACCCUUCGGGGGGCAAAGCCGCGAACGGGUGAGUAACACGUGGGUAACCUGCCCCGAUAACUGGGACAACCCGGGGAAACCCGGGCUAAUACCGGAUGAUGUGCACACACUUAAGUGUGUUCACUAAAGGUAGCUUCGGCUUCCGCAUUGGGAGGGGCCCGCGGCCCAUUAGCUUGUUGGUGAGGUAACGGCUCACCAAGGCAACGAUGGGUAGCUGGUCUGAGAGGACGAUCAGCCACACUGGGACUGAGACACGGCCCAGACUCCUACGGGAGGCAGCAGUGGGGAAUCUUGCGCAAUGCGCGAAAGCGUGACGCAGCAACGCCGCGUGAGGGAAGACGGCCUUCGGGUUGUAAACCUCUUUCAGUAGGGACGAAGGCCGGCCGGUGAAUAGCCGUGUCGGCUGACGGUACCUUCAGAAGAAGCUCCGGCUAACUACGUGCCAGCCGCCGCCGUAA
rnacentral:rRNA from 1 species